GAUGAACGCUGGCGGCGUGCCUAAUACAUGCAAGUCGAGCGAACAGACGAGGAGCUUGCUCCUCUGACGUUAGCGGCGGACGGGUGAGUAACACGUGGAUAACCUACCUAUCAGACUGGGAUAACUUCGGGAAACCGGAUCUAAUACCGGAUAACAUGUUGAACCGCAUGGUUCAACAGUGAAAGACGGUUUUGCUGUCACUUCUAGAUGGAUCCGCGUCGCAUUAGCUAGUUGGUAAGGUCACGGCUUACCAAGGCAACGAUGCGUAGACGACCUGAGAGGGUGGUAGGCCACACUGGAGGUGAGACACGGUCCAGACUCCUACGGGAGGCAGCAGUAGGGAACCGUCCGCAAUGGGCGAAAGCCUGACGGAGCAACGCCGCGUGAGAGAAGAAGGUCUUCGGUGCGUGAAGCUCUGUUAUUAGGGAAGAACAAAUGUGUAAGUAACCAUGCACGUCUUGACGGUACCUAAUCAGAAAGCCACGGCUAACUACGUG
rnacentral:rRNA from 1 species